AAAAAUGAGUAAAAAUCUUCCAAAAAAUCCUAAAAAAUAUCUGAAGUGAUUACAUAUAUAUCAGUAAAACUUCUAAUAUUUUCUUUAAGAACAUGGACAAAAAAUCAUUUUUUGUGAAUGUUCUUAAACAUUUUUAACAUUUCUUUUUUACACCAAAAAAUGUUGAAAGAUUUCCCAAAAAUGUUGAAAAUGUGGACAUCAGAAGUUUCACUGUGAAAAUAUUUUUUUUUUCCACAUUUUCAAACUUUAUCACCAGUCAAUUUUGACCUGCAGGACAACAUGAGGGUUAAAUGUAUUGACAAUUAGACCUGCCAAACAGUAAUAUCUUUUCAACUCAAGCACACACAAAAAACACGCAAAAAAUACAUGUCUUCACAAUCACGUGUGAAAAUAGUGCACAUGGUGUGGAAAAAUUACAAAAAUCUACACACAGGAUAUUCAGGAGUCAGACAGAGGGAGGUGCCAAGAUUUCCACAUUUCUUUCAAUAUUGUGAGUUUACACUCUGAGCGCAGAGGAGGGAGGGAAAGAUUCUAAAGUUUCCUCAUGGAGACUCCCUGGUGAACACAACACUGCACAACAGGAUGUUCUGGGCUUUACCCGACCAGCAUUGCACAUGAGGUGAAAUCCUGCACAAACCUGCUUUUGAUCCUGGAAACUACUGUGACGCCCCGCAGAAAAUGCACAACUUUGCUAAUUUCUCGCAGGAAUUUUGAAUGUUUUUCCUUCAGGUUCUUUUUUCUUCUUUUGCAAUUUUCCUUCUACUGUUUAAGUCAAGUCGUAAAGAGGAAUUUCCUUCUUUUUCUGUUGCAUAACUCAGUGGCUGAAGUGCGUGACAGAGCUACCUGCCUGUGCUUCCCUGACAUUUGACAUAAAAAUCCCAGGAUCACCUCUGUUUACAUCGUGACAGCUGUCCGUCACACUCCAAGGCAAUGCCGUGAUUCCAGCUUCCACUCAGCUCCGUCCGUCCAUCACUGCCAUCCAGAGCCAAACACAGGAUGGACACGGCAUCAUUCAUGAGUCAGCAGCCAGCUCAGAAGAUACCUGUCUCUGCAGCUCAUGACACCUCCACACCUUCUGUCAUACGCUUCCCAUCCUUUAUUUGAACAAGUAACCGUACAAUGAAGCAAAAAACUGCAUCAAUAAGACCCACUUCUGGAUUAUGGGGAGGUGAAGGUCAUUUGAUUAAUAAGUCAUCAUGCGAUGCUCUAUACAUGCCAGGAAGUCUUCAGUAAUAAAUAAAAUGCUGCAGGAUGUCCCACUGGACUUUAUUCAGUCAGGGGUCAAAGGGUAGGAAGAGGAGUGAUGAACUAAGGAGCUAUAAAUUAUAAAAGCAAGUGGCCAUCUACAGAAACUCAUAAAAUCCUUUCAAAAGAGUAACUUUGAAAGUAGUUGUUGUAAUAUACAAUAUUCAUAAUACAGGAAUGAGUUACAAUAAAAGCAAACUGGCAAAAAUAGAAAAGAGUGAAAGAGAAGCAAGAUAUAGAAAUACAGAAAUUUAAACAGUAAAAAAAGUGACAGCUAAAAAUAUGAAAUGUCCAACAUCCACUAUAAAUAUUGUUGUAAGUAUUUUUAAAAAAUAUAAUUAUAAUAAUGCUAAUAAUGAUGCUACUGCUACUACUAUUCCUAUUGCUACUUUCAUGAUAAUAAUAAUAAUGAUGAUGAUGAUGAUGAUGAUGAUGAUAAUAAUAAUAAUAAUAAGAAUAAUAUUAAUAUUAAUAAAAUCUAAAUUAUUGAGAUUGUAUUGUAAAUUUAUUGUAACGCUUUUUUAAACCUAACAAACUUACUAAACUAUAU